rnacentral:rRNA from 1 species
UACAGAGGGUGCAAGCGUUGUUCGGAAUCACUGGGCGUAAAGCGCGCGCAGGCGGAUGGUUGCGUCCGGAGUGAAAUUUCGCCGCUCAACGGCGAAGCUGCUUUGGAUACGGACCGUCUAGGGACCGGUAGAGGCUGGUAGAAUUGCAGGUGUAGCGGUGGAAUGCGUAGAGAUCUGCAAGAAUACCCGUGGCGAAGGCGGCCAGCUGGGCCGGAUCCGACGCUGAGGCGCGAAAGCGUGGGGAGCAAACAGGAUUAGAAACCCCCGUAGUCC